rnacentral:lncRNA from 1 species
UUUUUUUUUAUUGGAGUUCAAUUUGCCAACAUAUAGCAUAACACCCAGUGCUCAUCCCAAGUGCCCCCCUCAGUGCCCAUCACCCAGUCACCCCAACCCCCCAACUCACUUCCCCUUCUACCACCCCUUGUUCAUUUCCCAGAGUUAGGUGUCUCUCUCUGUUUCUUGCCAUCCCCAAAACCACCAGAAGUUUUCCUUCAGGUUGUGACACUGCCACAAAAUCUUUUUACAAAACACACUUUAACCAGGUAAAUUUAAAAACCUAACGGGCUUUAUUCAAUAAUUCAUGAAUUGGCAGUAUCCUACCCAGUAAGUAGAAAGGAUCUCUGUAAAGCUGUACAAAAUGGAAAACAUUUAUAGACAGAAGGUGGGACAAGGAAGUUAGCAACAAAGAGUGUAUUGUUUCAGGCAAGAUCACCUUCCUUUGAAGAAUGGCAAGGGUCUAUCAGACAGAUUAUCUCACUGACUGUUGAUGAUGUAAUUCCAGUCUGGCUGGUUAAGAUUAUAUUCCCAGGGAGGCUGAAACUGCAAUUAGGUGAGGUAUUAAGUCUCAGUUUGAUGAUGUGGGCUUAGCACAAGUGAGUCUAUUUUGGGUCUGCUGUCUCUUUUUUAACACACUGAAAUCUUAGGCAGCAACCAAUUGAUUGGCAAGGUAUUAAAGGGAAGUAAACUAUUGGAAUUCCUGAACUCGUAUAAUCCCAAUACUCGUAAGAGUAUGAGGUAGCCUCAUACUCUACCUUGGAAUAAUAUGUGAUGUCAAAGUUCUCUUUUUAAGAGAUAAGAAAAUAACUUAUAAUGCUGUGAUCAUGGGAAAAAUAUGAAUUGAGAGGUACAUUUUUAAACUUUUAAAAUUAAGGAGGAUUAGAGAAAAAUGAGAACAAGCUCAUUUGCCUCAACACUAGAAUAAUAGAUUAUCCCUGGGAAAAUUUUAAGGGCUGAUUUUAAGUCUUAAAACUACUAGUGGUAAGUAUAAGUAUUUGAAACUUGUUAUCUAUUUGGAAAUGAGUCAAAUAUAAAAAAAAUCUAUGAUGAGAUAGUAGAUAAUUACAUAUCAGGUUAAGGGUAAAAUGAGAAAACUUUGGAAGAAUUUUGGAUCUCAAAAGUUAAGGCAGCCACAUCUUCCCAUGAAACAAAGUUUGAUGCUGUUGUUUAGAAACAUAACUGGUGGGCAGCCCUGUCUGAUUUUUUAAAAUCAAAAAUAUGUUUAUACAUUCUGCAGUUAGGGUAUGCUGUUUGCUGUGAUUCUGGUCAUACUCAGAGCAAAGAUUAAUGAUUUAGGAGGGGGAAAAUAUAACAACUUCACUACAAAUGGCUAAGGCUAUGUCACCACAACAAAGUAGUUGGCAAGACACAUAGGCAAUCCAAUCAUAUAAGUAUAGUUUUCCUAUUGUACAGAUGAGAAAACUGAGCCUGUAAGUCCAAUGAUCAACUCAAAAAACAUCCAAAAAGUAGUAGGCCUGGGAACUUAAACUCACAAUAAAUAGACUCCUGGAGGAAUCAGGUGGCAGUAACGUCAAGCACAAGUUGCUCAGAUUAACCAUGGAAAAAGGGGACCCCACUAAGAAAAACAAUGAGAGGAGGUACAAAAAAUUUUCUGAUUAAGGAAAAAGAAGUUGAUGGUAUAAUAAUCCUGUUGAUGGCCACAGGAUUAUUUCUCAAUAUUCUCAGUAAAUCAAGAAAGCUUAAUGGUUGAGUGUAAAAGAUUAAGAGUGAGGACACAAGACAUAUAGAAAUGGACUGGAACUGACACAUCAAAAUGUGAUGUCACAUCCCAGAGAACAGGACAGAUUGCAUAAAUUUCUAUAGGAUCCAACUAGUAUGCUUUUAUGACCUUCUAUAACUGGCAGGAUGAGAACUGAGAAUACAAGUAGUCGAGUUGCAUUCGAUGCUGGAAUUGACACACCAGAUCCACAGCAAAAUGAAACUGCAAGAGUAUUGCACUCUCAAAAUGUCAAAGUUUAGUCACUGAUCAUGAGACUCAGAGGAGAUAUGAAUUCAAAACAAUUCAAAAGUAAAUCGAUGGGGAGGGGAGGAACUUUAAAAAUAAAAAGUAAAUAUUAGGUUAUUUGGUGUAAGGAAAUGUUUAAGUUGCAACUUUAAAAAAAUUGAUGAGAAAUGGAAACACUGAAAAUACUACUGCUAUAAUUAUUAUUAUAACCGAUCUUAAGAUAUUAGAAGUAAACCACUCUAGGCAGGGAUGAGAUCCCAUUGGAAUAAUUAUGGUGAUAAAGUAAAGGUGAAGAAAUGAGGAAGUUAAGAAAAAAAAAUCAAGUGUCCAAUAAUUAAAAAUUUUGAAGGACGUUCAUAGGAGGUAAAGUAAAAAGGCAAACAAUAAACUGAAAUUAUCAAGAUGGAUGAGAGUCAUGGACAUUGGUCAAUGAAUAACACUGAGGCUAGAAAAAAGAGAGUACAAUGCAUAAAAGGUGUUCAAAAUAUAGUAUAAGGUCAUUUAUAUACAAAUUAUGUGACAAAGCAAGUCUCAAUGCAAAAUCUCUUCCUAUUCCAAUAAGUAAGCAAUAAAGGUAGAAGUUGAAUCUCCUAAAAAGGGAUAUGAUGGUAUCAGGAAAUUUUUGAUUAAGAUUAGAUUUUGAUUAUAGCAUAGCGAGAUGGAUAGCUACACUCAAGCGAAUUACAGGCGAUUUUAUGACUUUUCAGAUCCACAGAUAAUUGGACCAGGCUCUCAGAGCACAGUGAAGGCAGCUUCCAUAAACCUUUCACAUUAUCUUAUUCCUUCCUUCAUUCUAAAUAUUCCUUAAAAACACUGUACGAGGUAUAUGGUAUAUACAACAGUGAUCAAAACAGAGAUGGUUCUAGUUCUCAGUAGCCUAAGUUCUUUGCUGUAAACAUGUAAAAGUCUGGAUGAUAUUUAAUAGGAUCAAAUUUAAGGAUAAGCUAAUCAGUCUCUCAUUUAUAAAUUAAGAAACUAAGGUACAAAUAAUUAGCAUCAGAGUCACAGCUAGAAGCCAGGUGUCUGGGUUACUAGCCCAGAGCUUUUAGAUUAAAUUAUAUCAAAUCACUCUAGCAUUGCACCAAGCUUCUUCGAAGACUACGCUAAGAAAAAAGUGUUGUUUUCAUAAUUCUAAGACACCUUCUUUAUACUUACUGCUUUGCAAUUUCCUCCCAAGCUCUGCUUUUCCCUAUAUGCCAUUUCAUUUGGAAAAGGACUGAUUAGAGAUUUCCCUAUUCUCUUUUUUAAUUCUUUUCCUACAGUGAAAAAUUCACUCAAUGGAUGGUAAAAAUAGAAAAUAGAACAAGUUAAGAAUCUGACAAAUCCUGGGCAUUCUUUUAAUUCCUUCUAACAUAGUGUCUUUUGAAGAACAGGUAAUCAAUGAGAAUGAUAUUUUUAAAUUACAAGUGUCCUUUCAGUAAUAAGUUAAUCUGCAAAUUAAAAUAUUAAAUGCUUAAAACUCAGUUCAUGAAAAAUCAUAGUAAUAGAUUUUUUUUAACUUUUACAUUAAAGAAUUGUUUUUGUGACUUUUAGGUUUCAUAAAUAUUUAAGGCCCAUAUGGUGUAUAUGCAGUAUGUGUUUCUGAAUCACCACUAUUGGAAUUAACUUAUCAUCAUAGCACAUGCUGACAUUUCUAUAGUUUUGGGUACACACUGUGCCUGACUUUUCCCACCAAAGGGCAGCUGUUAAGAAGCAAUAGUAAACUACCUAGACACGUUCUAUACUAUAUCUAGACCAAAGAAAAUAAUUUGAAAACUAAAAACUGGUCUCUGGAAAAAAGAGACUAUCUCAUUUAAAUCCCUUUCUACAGGAGGCAGAACGGCAGCACAGACAAAACGUGGGCUUUUAAUGAUGAGAGGUGGACAUGGCUGAGGCCAGAUCUCUACAAAUGCCACCAGCUAAAUGCCAGGAGAGCAGAGAAUUCCUCCGGGGAUACAAAAAAAAAAAAAAAAA